rnacentral:rRNA from 1 species
UCCGGUUGAUCCUGCCGGAGGCCCACUGCUAUCGGGGGUUUGACUAAGCCAUGCGAGUCGAGAGGUGCAAGACCUCGGCGUACUGCUCAGUAACACGUGGACAAUCUGCCCUGAAGAGGAGGAUAAUCCCGGGAAACUGGGGGUAAUACUCCAUAGUUCGUGCUGACUGGAAUGUUAUGCGAACGAAAGAUCCGUCGCUUCAGGAUGAGUCUGCGGCCGAUUAGGUAGUUGUUGGGGUAACGGCCCAACAAGCCUGUCAUCGGUACGGGUUGUGGGAGCAAGAGCCCGGAGAUGGAUUCUGAGACACGAAUCCAGGCCCUACGGGGCGCAGCAGGCGCGAAAACUUUACCAUGCGGGCAACCGUGAUAAGGAAACCCCGAGUGCCAGCACAGGCUGGCUGUCCACCAGUGUAAAUAACUGGUGAAGAAAGGGCCGGGCAAGACCGGUGCCAGCCGCCGCGGUAAUACCGGCGGCUCGAGUGGUGGCCGCUAUUACUGGGCUUAAAGGGUCCGUAGCUGGAUAUACAAGUCCCUUGAGAAAUCCGCCGGCUUAACCGGUGGGCGUUCAGGGGAAACUGUAUUUCUAGGGACCGGGAGAGGUGAGAGGUACUGCCGGGGUAGGAGUGAAAUCCUGUAAUCCCGGUGGGACCACCUAUGGCGAAGGCAUCUCACCAGAACGGGUCCGACAGUGAGGGACGAAAGCUGGGGGAGCAAACCGGAUUAGAUACCCGGGUAGUCCCAGCUGUAAACGAUGCGCGUUAGGUGUGUCAGUGACCACGUGUCACUGAGGUGCCGAAAGGAAACCGUGAAACGCGCCGCCUGGGGAGUACGGUCGCAAGGCUGAAACUUAAAAGAAUUGGCGGGGGGAGCACCACAACGGGUGGAGCCUGCGGUUUAAUUGGAUUCAACGCCGGG